CUUUGAUCCAGAGAUUUCCGAAUGGGGAAACCCAGCAUGAGUUAUGUCAUGUUAUCGAUAUGUGAAUACAUAGCAUAUCAGAAGGCACACCCGGAGAACUGAAACAUCUUAGUACCCGGAGGAAGAGAAAGAAAAUUCGAUUCCCUUAGUAGCGGCGAGCGAAAUGGGAAGAGCCCAAACCAACAAGCUUGCUUGUUGGGGUUGUAGGACACUCUAUACGGAGUUACAAAGGACGACAUUAGACGAAUCAUCUGGAAAGAUGAAUCAAAGAAGGUAAUAAUCCUGUAGUCGAAAAUGUUGUCUCUCUUGAGUGGAUCCUGAGUACGACGGAGCACGUGAAAUUCCGUCGGAAUCUGGGAGGACCAUCUCCUAAGGCUAAAUACUCUCUAGUGACCGAUAGUGAACCAGUACCGUGAGGGAAAGGUGAAAAGCACCCCGGAAGGGGAGUGAAAUAGAACCUGAAACCGUGUGCUUACAAGUAGUCAGAGCCCGUUAAUGGGUGAUGGCGUGCCUUUUGUAGAAUGAACCGGCGAGUUACGAUUUGAUGCAAGGUUAAGCAGUAAAUGUGGAGCCGUAGCGAAAGCGAGUCUGAAUAGGGCGUUUAGUAUUUGGUCGUAGACCCGAAACCAGGUGAUCUACCCUUGGUCAGGUUGAAGUUCAGGUAACACUGAAUGGAGGACCGAACCGACUUACGUUGAAAAGUGAGCGGAUGAACUGAGGGUAGCGGAGAAAUUCCAAUCGAACCUGGAGAUAGCUGGUUCUCUCCGAAAUAGCUUUAGGGCUAGCCUCAAGUGAUGAUUAUUGGAGGUAGAGCACUGUUUGGACGAGGGGCCCCUCUCGGGUUACCGAAUUCAGACAAACUCCGAAUGCCAAUUAAUUUAACUUGGGAGUCAGAACAUGGGUGAUAAGGUCCGUGUUCGAAAGGGAAACAGCCCAGACCACCAGCUAAGGUCCCAAAAUAUAUGUUAAGUGGAAAAGGAUGUGGCGUUGCCCAGACAACUAGGAUGUUGGCUUAGAAGCAGCCAUCAUUUAAAGAGUGCGUAAUAGCUCACUAGUCGAGUGACACUGCGCCGAAAAUGUACCGGGGCUAAACAUAUUACCGAAGCUGUGGAUUGUCCUUUGGACAAUGGUAGGAGAGCGUUCUAAGGGCGUUGAAGCAUGAUCGUAAGGACAUGUGGAGCGCUUAGAAGUGAGAAUGCCGGUGUGAGUAGCGAAAGACGGGUGAGAAUCCCGUCCACCGAUUGACUAAGGUUUCCAGAGGAAGGCUCGUCCGCUCUGGGUUAGUCGGGUCCUAAGCUGAGGCCGACAGGCGUAGGCGAUGGAUAACAGGUUGAUAUUCCUGUACCACCUAUAAUCGUUUUAAUCGAUGGGGGGACGCAGUAGGAUAGGCGAAGCGUGCGAUUGGAUUGCACGUCUAAGCAGUAAGGCUGAGUAUUAGGCAAAUCCGGUACUCGUUAAGGCUGAGCUGUGAUGGGGAGAAGACAUUGUGUCUUCGAGUCGUUGAUUUCACACUGCCGAGAAAAGCCUCUAGAUAGAAAAUAGGUGCCCGUACCGCAAACCGACACAGGUAGUCAAGAUGAGAAUUCUAAGGUGAGCGAGCGAACUCUCGUUAAGGAACUCGGCAAAAUGACCCCGUAACUUCGGGAGAAGGGGUGCUCUUUAGGGUUAACGCCCAGAAGAGCCGCAGUGAAUAGGCCCAAGCGACUGUUUAUCAAAAACACAGGUCUCUGCUAAACCGUAAGGUGAUGUAUAGGGGCUGACGCCUGCCCGGUGCUGGAAGGUUAAGAGGAGUGGUUAGCUUCUGCGAAGCUACGAAUCGAAGCCCCAGUAAACGGCGGCCGUAACUAUAACGGUCCUAAGGUAGCGAAAUUCCUUGUCGGGUAAGUUCCGACCCGCACGAAAGGCGUAACGAUUUGGGCACUGUCUCAACGAGAGACUCGGUGAAAUCAUAGUACCUGUGAAGAUGCAGGUUACCCGCGACAGGACGGAAAGACCCCGUGGAGCUUUACUGUAGCCUGAUAUUGAAAUUCGGCACAGCUUGUACAGGAUAGGUAGGAGCCUUUGAAACGUGAGCGCUAGCUUACGUGGAGGCGCUGGUGGGAUACUACCCUAGCUGUGUUGGCUUUCUAACCCGCACCACUUAUCGUGGUGGGAGACAGUGUCAGGCGGGCAGUUUGACUGGGGCGGUCGCCUCCUAAAAGGUAACGGAGGCGCUCAAAGGUUCCCUCAGAAUGGUUGGAAAUCAUUCAUAGAGUGUAAAGGCAUAAGGGAGCUUGACUGCGAGACCUACAAGUCGAGCAGGGUCGAAAGACGGACUUAGUGAUCCGGUGGUUCCGCAUGGAAGGGCCAUCGCUCAACGGAUAAAAGCUACCCCGGGGAUAACAGGCUUAUCUCCCCCAAGAGUUCACAUCGACGGGGAGGUUUGGCACCUCGAU
rnacentral:rRNA from 1 species